UGUAAAACAUCUCUAUUCUCUUUCAUCAAAACACUAUAAACAAACAGUCCCCAAGUUGUUGUUUAGUUUUAUGAUCUUUUGGAAAAAACAAAAUUUAAGGAUGUUUGAAUUGUUUGUGCUGGGAUGUACUGGUGUUGUGAUGUUCCUUCAUGGAGCCAAUUUCUUCUUCCAUGCUCUCUCUCAACAUAUGGCCAUUCGUUCUCUCAGCUUCUUAGGAUUUGUUGGUUGGUGAAGAUGAUGACGAGCUAAAAGUAAGGUUACACCAACAGCAAUGUUAUUUUGUAAAUAUAUUUCAUUUUUUUUUGUUUCUUUUACCUUUUAUAAGACAAAUGUUGUUGUAGACUUGUAGUACCAAUAGAAAAUGGAAAAGAAUACCUAUGAUGAGAAAAUAUAUCAUCUAUAUUGUAAUCAUUGAAAGGCUGUUGCUUAUUUUAAGUGGUACAACCACCUUUCAAAUAUAUCAAUUGAUUUCGUCGUUCUGUAUCUUGUUA